rnacentral:rRNA from 1 species
CCUACGGGAGGCAGCAGUGGGGAAUCUUGCGCAAUGGGCGAAAGCCUGACGCAGCAACGCCGCGUGCGGGAAGAAGGCUUUCGGGCUGUAAACCGCUUUCAGCAGGAACGAAAAUGACGGUACCUGCAGAAGAAGGAGCGGCCAACUAUGUGCCAGCAGCCGCGGUGAUACAUAGGCUUCAAGCGUUGUCCGGAUUUAUUGGGCGUAAAGAGUUCGUAGGCGGUCAAGUAAGUCGGGUGUGAAAAUUCUGGGCUCAACCCAGAGACGCCACCCGAUACUGCUUAACUUGAGUUCGAUAGGGGAGUGGGGAAUUCCUAGUGUAGCGGUGAAAUGCGCAGAUAUUAGGAGGAACACCGGUGGCGAAGGCGCCACUCUGGAUCGAUACUGACGCUGAGGAACGAAAGCAUGGGUAGCAAACAGGAUUAGAUACCCUGGUAGUCCAUGCCGUAAACGGUGGGCACUAGGUGUGGGUUUCUAUUAACGAAAUCCGCGCCGUCGCUAACGCAUUAAGUGCCCCGCCUGGGGGAGGUACGGUCGCGAGACUAAACUACAAGAAGUAGUAGCGNGNGAGAGCGACGACGACGACGACGGAGGAGG